GACGAACGCUGGCGGCGUGCUUAACACAUGCAAGUCGAACGGAAAGGCCCUGCUUUUGUGGGGUGCUCGAGUGGCGAACGGGUGAGUAACACGUGAGUAACCUGCCCUUGACUUUGGGAUAACUUCAGGAAACUGGGGCUAAUACCGGAUAGGAGCUCCUGCUGCAUGGUGGGGGUUGGAAAGUUUCGGCGGUUGGGGAUGGACUCGCGGCUUAUCAGCUUGUUGGUGGGGUAGUGGCUUACCAAGGCUUUGACGGGUAGCCGGCCUGAGAGGGUGACCGGCAACAUUGGGACUGAGAUACGGCCCAGACUCCUACGGGAGGCAGCAGUGGGGAAUAUUACACAAUGGGCGGAAGCCUGAUGCAGCAACGCCGCGUGCGGGAUGACGGCCUUCGGGUUGUAAACCGCUUUCGCCUGUGACGAAGCGUGAGUGACGGUAAUGGGUAAAGAAGCACCGGCUAACUACGUG
rnacentral:rRNA from 1 species